GAGAGGUAUAUAAGGAGUAAAGAGGGAUGGGGGAGAGAGGUAUAUAAGGAGUAAAGAGGGAUGGGGAGAGAGGUAUAUAAGGAGUAAAGAGGGAUGGGGGAGAGAGGUAUAUAAGGAGUAAAGAGGGAUGGGGAGAGAGGUAUAUAAGGAGUAAAGAGGGAUGGGGGAGAGAGGUAUAUAAGGAGUAAAGAGGGAUGGGGGAGAGAGGUAUAUAAGGAGUAAAGAGGGAUGGGGGAGAGAGGUAUAUAAGGAGUAAAGAGGGAUGGGGGAGAGAGGUAUAUAAGGAGUAAAGAGGGAUGGGGGAGAGAGGUAUAUAAGGAGUAAAGAGGGAUGGGGGAGAGAGGUAUAUAAGGAGGAAAGGGGGAUGGGGAGAGAGGUAUAUAGGGAGGAAAGAGGGAUGGGGAGAGAGGUAUAUAGGGAGGAAAGAGGGAUGGGGAGAGAGGUAUAUAGGGAGGAAAGAGGGAUGGGGAGAGAGGUAUAUAGGAGUAAAGAGGGAUGGGGAGAGAGGUAUAUAGGAGGAAAGAGGGAUGGGGAGAGAGGUAUAUAGGGAGGAAAGAGGGAUGGGGAGAGAGGUAUAUAGGGAGGAAAGAGGGAUGGGGAGAGAGGUAUAUAGGGAGGAAAGAGGGAUGGGGAGAGAGGUAUAUAGGGAGGAAAGAGGGAUGGGGAGAGAGGUAUAUAGGGAGGAAAGAGGGAUGGGGAGAGAGGUAUAUAGGGAGGAAAGAGGGAUGGGGAGAGAGGUAUAUAGGGAGGAAAGAGGGAUGGGGAGAGAGGUAUAUAGGAGUAAAGAGGGAUGGGGAGAGAGGUAUAUAGGAGGAAAGAGGGAUGGGGAGAGAGGUAUAUAGGAGGAAAGAGGGAUGGGGAGAGAGGUAUAUAAGGAGUAAAGAGGGAUGGGGGAGAGAGGUAUAUAAGGAGUAAAGAGGGA